rnacentral:lncRNA from 1 species
GUAGCAAGUUACUCAAUUUUCCUGGGAUUCUCCCAUGUAUACACAUCAUUAAAUUUGUUUGAUUUUCUCCUGUCAUCCUGUCUCAUGUCAAUUUCUUAGAGCAGCCAGAAGACCAUAGACAGGUAGGGGGAAAUUCCUUUCUCCUCUCCAGUUGGGGAUGAGGAUGGGAUAAAACUUAACUGGCUGGACGCUGCUUGUUCUGGGACUACUGCAGCUGACAGAUCCUGGACCUCUGACAAGAGCUGGCAGCAGCUAAGAGUUCUUACCAUGUCCGUGUCCCAGAUCUCUGCCUGCAGGAUCCAGCGGAAGCAAGAGUGGCACCAGUGAUUCAAGUGCAGCCACAUCCUGACUUCUGAUCUUCACGAGUUUCUUGGAAGAAAAGGUAUGAAGUCAUAGAGGCACUGGCCAGGUCAAGAAGAAUCAAGUCCUGACCAAGAUCCAAAGGAGACACCCCUCUCAAGGUAACAUCUUUGGCAUAGAAAAGCUGGCUCAGAGCAUGAGAAGAAGUUGGAAAUCCACUGAAAGAAAUAAGCCUAUAAACUAAGAUUUAGACUUUCUCAGCAUGGAUUUCAUCUUCCUGCUUUGCUGAACCAGGCUGAUUUGCUCAAGUUAAAGUUAGAAAGUGGCUGAAUGGAAGGAUUUCUUCUCAAGUUGCAGGGAAUAAGUAGGACAAGAUGAAGAUCCUAAUCCUGACUGUGGCCAUCUUGAAUUUUGUCUCUCACUUCCCGGUCUUAAGCACUGAUAUCACACUCUUCUUAUGCUUUUGGUUAACAAUUCAAGGACAUAGAUCUUCAUUCUUUCCUGACACAGGCUUUUAAAAUGGGUCUGUUUUCACUUUGCUGAUUUUUCUUCAAUAAAUCUUUUUGACGGCAACUGA